GGGCAGCGGUGGCUGCAGGUGCUCCUCAUGCUUGACGGAACGGGAGGGGAGUGUCCACAGUGGCCUUCACCUCCGAUCAAGACUGAAGAGAAUGACAAGGAUAAUAAGGAGGUUCGCAUUCCUCAUCUGGAGGAAUUCCACUUGAAAACAUCAACACGACGUGAGGAAUGGAUUCCGUGUGCUCCAGGACCUGUUGGUGCAAGACCUUUCCUGAAUUCUUCGAAACAAAGAAGACCCUUGGGAUUGGGCCAAAGCCCCCAGCCGGUAUCACAUUAUGCUGUCACCAUCUGACCAGUCCUAGGUCUCCAAGCAAAAACAGAAACUUCUAACAGGUAGGAGAGUUCUUGGGGGCUUAGAGAAGGCAUCUCAGGAGCCAUGGGCAAGGGCCAGGCUUACUUUUUGGAGACAUAAAGUUCUUCAUCCCACUGUGGUCUGCAAUGUGCCUAGACUAUGGCUUGCAAAGUUGGGUGUGCGCUUGUGGGACAAUCUCCUCAGCAGAGAUUCGGGGAGUGCCACAGCUCCUGGCGUUCUAGUGGACCUGUGAGGACAGGGUGAGAGUGGGCCUUGUGGCAGUUUACAUUAAGUGAUGGUUGACAUAACAGCAUCAGACCCCUCAAUUCUUAGGGAAAAGAUGACAGAGAAAUGGAUCCUUCAGCUGCUGUUGGUCACAGGCUAUUACAGUGAGUGAUUGACAACCCAGGGAGGCAGAGGGUGGGUUUGUG
rnacentral:lncRNA from 1 species